rnacentral:rRNA from 1 species
GAGGAAAGCUGGUGGCGUGCCUAAUACAUGCAAGUCGAGCGAACAGACGAGGAGCUUGCUCCUCUGACGUUAGCGGCGGACGGGUGAGUAACACGUGGAUAACCUACCUAUAAGACUGGGAUAACUUCGGGAAACCGGAGCUAAUACCGGAUAAUAUAUUGAACCGCAUGGUUCAAUAGUGAAAGACGGUUUUGCUGUCACUUAUAGAUGGAUCCGCGCCGCAUUAGCUAGUUGGUAAGGUAACGGCUUACCAAGGCAACGAUGCGUAGCCGACCUGAGAGGGUGAUCGGCCACACUGGAACUGAGACACGGUCCAGACUCCUACGGGAGGCAGCAGUAGGGAAUCUUCCGCAAUGGGCGAAAGCUUGACGGAGCAACGCCGCGUGAGUGAUGAAGGUCUUCGGAUCGUAAAACUCUGUUAUUAGGGAAGAACAAAUGUGUAAGUAACUAUGCACGUCUUGACGGUACCUAAUCAGAAAGCCACGGCUAACUACGUG